rnacentral:rRNA from 1 species
GGUUUGAUUCUGGCUCAGAUUGAACGCUGGCGGGAUGCUUACACAUGCAAGUCGAACGGCAGCACGGACUUCGGUCUGGUGGCGAGUGGCGAACGGGUGAGUAAUGUAUCGGAACGUGCCUAGUAGCGGGGGAUAACUACGCGAAAGGUAGCUAAUACCGCAUACGCCUCGGGAAAGCGGGGGACUCGGGCCUCGCACUAUUAGGAGCGGCUGAUAUCGGAUUAGCUAGUUGGUGGGGUAACGGCUCACCAAGGCGACGAUCCGUAGCUGGUUUGAGAGGACGACCAGCCACACUGGGACUGAGAUAUCGGCUCCAGACUCCUACGUGGAGGCAGCAGUGGGGAAUUUGGGAUUGUAACGGGGAAACCCUGAUCCAGCCAUCCUGGCGUGCGAUGAAGGCCUUCGGGUUGUAAAGCACUUUUGGCAGGAAAGAAACGGCACGGGAUAAUACCCUGUGCAACUGACGGUACCUGCAGAAUAAGCACCGGCCAACUACGCCAGCAGCCGCAAUACGUAGGUGCAAGCGUUAAUCGGAAUUACUGGGGCGUAGCGCAAGUGCAGGCGGUUCGGAAAAGAAAGAGAUGUGAAAUCCCAGAGCUUAACUUUGGAACCGCAUUUUUAACCACCGAGCCGAGUGUCAGAGGGAGGUGGAAUUCCGCGUAGCAGUGAAAUGCGUAGAUAUGCGGAGGAACACCGAUGGCGAAGGCAGCCUCCGGAUAACACUGACGCUCAUGCACGAAAGCGUGGGGAGCAAACAGGAUUAGAUACCCUGGUAGUCCACGCCCUAAACGAUGUCAACUAGCUGCUGGGGCCUUCGGCCUGGUAGCGCAGCUACGCGUGAAGUUGACCGCCUGGGGAGUACGGUCGCAAAAGAUUAAAACUCAAAGGAAUUGACGGGGACCUGCACAAGCGGUGAUGAUGUGGAUUAAUUCGAUGCAACGCGAAAACCUUACCUACCCUUGACAUGUUGGAAUCCCGAAGAUCGGGGAGGUUUCGCAAGAGAACCGGAACACAGGUGUUGCAUGGCUGUCGCCGCCUGUGUCAGGAGAUGCUGGGGUUAAGUCCCGCAACGAGCGGCAACCUCUGUCAUUAGUUGCUGUCGGUGCCGGCACUGACGAGACCGCUGCGACAAACCGGAGGGAAGGUGGGGAUGACGUCAAGUCCUCAUGGGCCCUAUGGGUAGGGCUUCACACGUCAUACAAUGGUCGGGACAGAGGGUCGCCAACCUGCGAGGUGAGCCAAUCCCGUAAACCCGAUCGUAGUCCGGAUCGCAGUCUGCAACUCGACUCCAUUGCGUGAAGUCGGAAUCGCCGGGGCACUCGCGGAUCAGCAUGUCGCGGUGAAUACGUUCCCGGGUCUUGUACACACCGCCCGUCACACCAUGGGAGUGGUUCUACCAGAAGUGGUUAGCCUAACCGUGGCGAGAGUGGGCGAUUACCACGGUAGGAUUCAUGACCGGGGGUGAAGUCGUAACAAGGC